rfam:Daphnia pulex DAPPTscaffold_27_Cont1644, whole genome shotgun sequence.
GUUUCCAUAGUUUAGUGGUUAUCACGUCGGCCUAACACGCCGAAGGUCCUCAGUUCAAUCCUUGGUGGAAACA